UACGUAGGGCGCAAGCGUUGUCCGGAAUUAUUGGGCGUAAAGAGCUCGUAGGCGGUUUGCCGCGUCGGAUGUGAAAGCCCGGGGCUUAACCCCGGGUCUGCAUUCGAUACGGGCAGACUAGAGUGUGGUAGGGGAGAUCGGAAUUCCUGGUGUAGCGGUGAAAUGCGCAGAUAUCAGGAGGAACACCGGUGGCGAAGGCGGAUCUCUGGGCCAUUACUGACGCUGAGGAGCGAAAGCGUGGGGAGCGAAC
rnacentral:rRNA from 1 species